CCCCUCCGUCCUCCUGUAUCUUUAGUGCAGACCUCCUCCCCCUCUGAAGCCUCGCCUUCUCUCUGAGGCAGAUCACAGAGGUCCUGGGCAGCCUUCAGGUGAUUCUAUCUGAGUGCAGCUAGGCCUGGUGUGUCCUGGGAACAGCACAAAGUAUGAGACAUUUGUUUUGUGACUUACGAGUGAGGGCCGUUAGAGCGUCUAAGGAAGACAACUCUGCCAUUCUUCGCACUGGUAUCAGUCUGACCUGAGCCUGUCCCAGCAGCACCCGGGUCCUCUGCAUUUCAGGACUGUGAUGAGCUCCAUGAUCUGCACAAGUGUAAGUGCUAACAGACAAAAGUGACUUUAAAACUGCUCAUCAGAGGGCUGAAGUAUCUGAUAAGCAAAGACCACACAUGCAAAUGUAGAAACAGACCUCUUUAUAAAUGAUGUCUGACAAGGAAAAGGAUAGCUGCGGCAUAGGAGCUCUGGAAAAUCUGAGACUUCUUUCAAAUGAUCUUUGCACUUUUGGACAUGGAGAUGGUCACAAAACACUGGGGGAAACAUCAAAGGGGUGUCACAGACAUGGAACGGAGCAAACCAGAAAGAGGAUGGUGUACACUCAACAAGCCCCAAAGAGAACAGGGAAGAGCAUCAGAUUAAGGAGUCACACAAGUCAAAGGACUGAAUCUGCAACAUAA
rnacentral:lncRNA from 1 species